rnacentral:rRNA from 1 species
CGGACGGGUGAGUAACGCGUGGGUAACCUGCCUUAUACAGGGGGAGUAACAGUCAGAAAUGGCUGCUAAUACCGCAUAAGCGCACAGAGCUGCAUGGCUCGGUGUGAAAAACUCCGGUGGUAUAAGAUGGACCCGCGUUGGAUUAGCUUGUUGGUGGGGUAACGGCCCACCAAGGCGACGAUCCAUAGCCGGCCUGAGAGGGUGAACGGCCACAUUGGGACUGAGACACGGCCCAGACUCCUACGGGAGGCAGCAUG